rnacentral:ribozyme from 11 species
AUAAGAUAUACGAAAGCUAACUAAAGAGAGGAAGAGCAUGGAAGAGGAGCUCUAUACGUUGGCUCCUUCUUGAUCUUUCUCAUUCUUUUCCUUUUUCUCUUUUUUGUCUUUCGGGUCCUUCUUCU